GACAGAGGGUGCAAACGUUGUUCGGAAUUACUGGGCGUAAAGCGAGUGUAGGCGGUCUCGUAAGUCGGGUGUGAAAGCCCUGGGCUCAACCCAGGAAGUGCACUCGAAACUGCGAGGCUAGAGUACUGGAGAGGUUGGUGGAAUUCUCGGUGUAGAGGUGAAAUUCGUAGAUAUCGAGAGGAACACCAGUGGCGAAGGCGGCGACCUGGACGGACACUGACGCUGAGACGCGAAAGCGUGGGGAGCAAACAGG
rnacentral:rRNA from 1 species